AGAUUAUCACUCGAGUAAAUGUUUUACAAUUAUUUUAUUUUUAUUGCUACCACAGGUGAUUAUGGUCGAUUAUAACAAAUAUAACGAAAAUAUUAAGAUACAGUAAGAAAGCAAUUAUGGACAUACAUACAAAUUAUAUCAAUGUGAUGGACGAUGGAGAUCGUGUCAAAUAGAAAAAGAAAACACAUAAUAACACUGGAAAAAAAUAUGAGUGUACAGAUCGUUUGACGAAAUCGUAGCGAUUGUAAAAAAUCAAGAAUGGUUUGUCAACUGAAAAACC